rnacentral:pre_miRNA from 15 species
UCUUAGCUUUCUUGGCGCCGAGUUUGUGACUUUCCUGACAAAGUCACAAACUCGGCGCCAAGAAAGCUAAGAA